GGUUUGGUGUUUGAAUCAUUAUACAAGCAUGUCUAAUAUUUAUUUCUCGUUUAGAUCCAACCAGGCUUUUUGUUGAUUUUUUAAGAUUUCUUGAAUCUACACAGCCUACCACUGUUACAUCUUUGUCUUCAACGAAUGGGAAGUUUAACAACUAUUAUUUUUUAAUAUGUGUAUAUAUUUUUGAUGACUGCAAUAUAUAAUU